AGAGUUUGAUCCUGGCUCAGGACGAACGCUAGCGGCAGGCUUAAUACAUGCAAGUCGAACGGUAAGGCCUCUUCGGAGGUACACGAGUGGCGCACGGGUGCGUAACGCGUAUGCAACCUACCCUUCAGAGGGGAAUAGUCGCGGGAAACUGCGAAUAAUACCCCAUAUGAUCCUAGUGACACAUGUUACAGGGAUGAAAGUUCCGGCGCUGAAGGAUGGGCAUGCGUAGCAUUAGCUAGUUGGUGAGGUAACGGCUCACCAAGGCGACGAUGCUUAGCUGGUCUGAGGGGAUGAUCAGCCACACGGGCACUGAGACACGGGCCCGACUCCUACGGGAGGCAGCAGUAAGGAAUAUUGGUCAAUGGGGGCAACCCUGAACCAGCCAUGCCGCGUGCAGGAUUGAAGGUUCUACGAAUCGUAAACUGCUUUUAUAUGGGGCUAAUACCCUGCUAUAGGCAGGAUUGCAGGUACCAUACGAAUAAGCACCGGCUAACUACGUGCCAGCAGCCGCGGUAAUACGUAGGGUGCAAGCGUUGUCCGGAUUUAUUGGGUUUAAAGGGUGCGCAGGCGGCCUGUUAAGUUCGUGGUGAAAUCGUUCCGCUCAACGGGACUUGUGCCAUGGAUACUGACAGGCUUGAGUGAGCGUAAGGAAACUGGAAUGCGUGGUGUAGCGGUGAAAUGCAUA
rnacentral:rRNA from 1 species